ensembl:lncRNA
GUGGGUCUCAAAUUAUUCCAUUUCUAGGGAAACUUAUUUUUUUUAAGCCACCAUCAUAAUCACUCCUCCUAAAUCAAACCAUUGACUGUUCAAUCAAGUGAGUUUAGAUGCCACGUUGACAUAAAGCAUUCUGAAUGAACAUGGAAGCCCAGGACAGAGCAAGCUACAGGAAACCAAGAAGAAUAAUUGGUUCCAAAGUGUACUUGUCUUACAAAUGUUUUUCCUUCUCUCGUCAGUUGACAAUUUCUCCUUGACAUGACGUGAUUGAACUCAUGAAGAUUUUUCUCCAAGGAAACAACACACUUGGGAAGUAUGAACCCAGAGAGGUCACAUCUUUUGGAGUUAUCUGCCGCCAAGAAGAAUGGCUCCCAUUUAUUUUUCAAGAGACCUAGGACCAAGAAGGAAUGGAAGAAGCUUACUGAGAUCAUAUCUUCAUGGAGAGCUGUGGUUUAUCUGGUGAAGGACAUGCCGUGAUACUUCAUGCAGUGCCCUGAAGGGAUUGUCCAAAGAGAGGGCCUCCUUAGGCUGGGUGCUUGACUUGUACCUGAGACAUCUCAAGAGACUUGUCCACAGGUCAGAGACGUGGGUGAGCCCACUCAUACAGCUUCAAGAAGCUGGAAGGAUCUACCUGGGGAGUGAGACAGGCCUAGAAAAAGGAAUCUCCUUGAUAUCAAAAGGUUGUUGGCUCCAUGAGCCCCCAGAAAGCUAAGAGUCAUGGACACUCAAAUCCCUCUCUUAAGAGAGUGUGUGUUACUGUUGCACCAUAGCAUUGAGGGAGCGGUGGCAAGGAGGAAGUCUGUGCAUGUUUAAUAUCAUGACUAGUUUUUUAAAAGAAGUCCUGCUCUCCAAUUGGUUGACCCUGUGGAUAUAGACCUUGUAGCUAGGACAGCCUAACUGUUUACAUUUCGGAGGAAAUCUCAGUUUUUCUCGAAUGAAUUUUUGUACUCUGGAGAACAAAGCAGGUGCUUUAAAC